ensembl:snRNA U1 U1 spliceosomal RNA
GGUUUUACCUGGCAUGGGAGAUACCGUGAUCAAGAAGGCGGUUCACCCAUUGCACUUCGGCUUUGCUGACCCCUGAGAAUUCCCCAAAUGUGGAAAUCUCGACUGCAUUAUUUAUUUAUUUAUUUAUUUAUUUAUUU